AGAGUUUGAUCCUGGCUCAGGAUGAACGCUGGCGGCGUGCUUAACACAUGCAAGUCGAACGGAGCCAAGAGAUGCUUGCAUCUCUGAAACUUAGUGGCGGACGGGUGAGUAACGCGUGAGUAACCUGCCCUUUACCGGGGGAUAACACUUAGAAAUAGGUGCUAAUACCGCAUAAGCGCACAGAGCCGCAUGGCUCAGUGUGAAAAACUCCGGUGGUAAAGGAUGGACUCGCGUCUGAUUAGCCAGUUGGCAGGGUAACGGCCUACCAAAGCGACGAUCAGUAGCCGGCCUGAGAGGGUGAACGGCCACAUUGGGACUGAGACACGGCCCAAACUCCUACGGGAGGCAGCAGUGGGGGAUAUUGCACAAUGGGGGAAACCCUGAUGCAGCGACGCCGCGUGAGUGAAGAAGUAUUUCGGUAUGUAAAGCUCUAUCAGCAGGGAAGAAAAUGACGGUACCUGACUAAGAAGCCCCGGCUAACUACGUGCCAGCCGCCGC
rnacentral:rRNA from 1 species